rnacentral:lncRNA from 1 species
GCAGCUUGUGCCUCACACGGUGCGGCCAGGCUGAGGACCACCUGGAGGCUGAAACUGGCCUAUGCGCAAAAGGAUGCCUGGAAUCCAGCUGCAAGAAAGAAACAGAAGAAUGGGAUGAGCACAUUUUCAAUGAAAAUUAGUUUAUAAUACAGUACACUCAUUAUUUCCAGACAGCAUAAUAUGUAUACAGCAAUGAAAGAGUCCAAAAUUAUAUCCAU